GUAGAAUAUUAGUCACUGAAUAUUUAAAAAUAUAAAUACGUUUAGUCUCAGCUAGAUUUUAUGUAAUUCAGUUGUAUUUUCUCCCAACUCAGAACACGUUAUUUGGAUACACAGUCAAAAUGUCGAACUGGCUUAUUGGAUUCGACUAAAUUGCAUGUUUUUAACUUUUCCAUGAUGUAUUGAUAACCAGAAAAUCAUCAUUGUCAAAAUUGGGGCUCUUUCUUCAUCUUUUUGUUUCAUUUAUUUACUUUAUUUUUUACUAAUUUACCCAAAUAUACUAUAUGAACAACUGUAUAACAUAAUUCUUUAUAACUUACAGUCACUUGACUGUAUUCUAUUGUGCCAAGUAUGUUAUUUUAUUUAAUAUUAAUGAAGGCGUUCUUUUUCAAUGUUGCUUUGAAAAUGUUAUAACAUUUCAUAACGCCAUAAUUUUUUCAUAUUGUGUGAGAGGAUUAUUCCAUAAUAGACGUCUUACCCUGUUUACGUUUCAGGCAGGCAAAAUUCACUCCAGACCACCCACGAAUGAAAACUUUUUAUUGUGAAAUGUAUUUAUUACACAUUAACUAAAACAUGUCUCUUUACAUUUACUUUUUAUGGGCAGAUACAUGCCAUUUGCUGGACUAUAAAAUCAUUAAUUUUUGAAAGCACAAAAGAACAAUAAUCAGGAAUGAAAUGAACUUUAACACUUCAAAACCGCACGUGAUAGUUCAUGAUGAAUGUGCUGCAUGAAUUUUGUUUUCUGGGUACAAAAAACGUUUUUGUUCUCUUUAUUUUGAUUGGAAAUCUCGUGGUAGCACAUUUUCUUUGAUAUUAUAGAUCUAAGUUUGAUCCAUUCGCUUCUUGAAAAACAUCUAUACAAUUGGAACCAGUCCACAAGGAAAUGUAAACAAGGUAGGGAAUCGAUUAUGUUAAUUAUCACUGUAUAUAGGUUGCUUCGUUCUCCUAAAAACCCACAAACUUUAGUCUUAAUCAAA